GAUGAACGCUGGCGGCGUGCCUAAUACAUGCAAGUCGAGCGAACGGACCAGAAGCUUGCUUCUCUGAUGUUAGCGGCGGACGGGUGAGUAACACGUGGAUAACCUAACUCUAAGACUGGGAUAACUUCGGGAAACCGGAGCUAAUACCGGAUAAUAUUUUGCACCUCAUGGUUCAAAAGUGAAAGACGCUCUUUCUGUCACUUAUAGCUGGAUCCGCGCUGCAUUAGCUAGUUGGUAAGGUAACGGCUUAACAAGGCAACGAUGCAUAGCCGACCUGAGAGGGUGAUCGCACAGACGGGAACAGAGACAGGGUCCAGACUCCGACGGGAGGCAGCAGUAGGGAAUCUUACGCGAUGGGCGAAAGCCUGACGGAGCAACGCCGCGGGAGGGAUGAAGGUCUUCGGAUCGGAAAACGAUGUUAGUAGGGAAGAACAUAUGUGUAAGUAACUGUGAACAUCUUGACGGUACCGAAUCAGAAAGCCACGGCUAACUACGUG
rnacentral:rRNA from 1 species